CCAAUAGCGUAUAUUAAAGUUGUUGCAGUUAAAAAGCUCGUAGUUGAAUUUCGGGAUUGACGUGACGGUCAUGCCUUAAGGGGUAUGAACUGUUACAGUUGAUUUCUCACCUUCUGGAGAAACUUGAUGUCCUUUAUUGGGUGUCUUGCGGAUCCAGGACCUUUACCUUGAAAAAAUUAGAGUGUUUAAAGCAGGCAUUUUUGCUCGAAUACAUUAGCAUGGAAUAAUAGAAUAGGACGGCAUGGUUCUAUUUUGUUGGUUUCUAGGAUCACCGUAAUGAUUAAUAGGGAUAGUUGGGGGCAUUAGUAUUCAAUUGUCAGAGGUGAAAUUCUCGGAUUUAUUGAAGACUAACUACUGCGAAAGCAUUUGCCAAGGAUGUUUUCAUUAAUCAAGAACGAAAGUUAGGGGGUCGAAGACGAUCAGAUACCGUCGUAGUCUUAACCAUAAACUAUGCCGACUAGGAAUCAGACGAUGUUAAUUUUUUAAUGACUCGUUUGGCACCUUACG
rnacentral:rRNA from 1 species